AAAGGAAUGCUAAUACCGCAUACGUCCUACGGGAGAAAGCAGGGGAUCUUCGGACCUUGCGCUAAAUGAUGAGCCUAAGUCGGAUUAGCUAGUUGGUGGGGUAAAGGCCUACCAAGGCGACGAUCUGUAGCGGGUCUGAGAGGAUGAUCCGCCACACUGGGACUGAGACACGGCCCAGACUCCUACGGGAGGCAGCAGUGGGGAAUAUUGGACAAUGGGGGGAACCCUGAUCCAGCCAUGCCGCGUGUGUGAAGAAGGCCUUAUGGUUGUAAAGCACUUUAAGCGAGGAGGAGGCUACUCUAGAUAAUACCUAGAGAUAGUGGACGUUACUCGCAGAAUAAGCACCGGCUAACUCUGUGCCAGCAGCCGCGGUAAUACAGAGGGUGCGAGCGUUAAUCGGAUUUACUGGGCGUAAAGCGUGCGUAGGCGGCUGAUUAAGUCGGAUGUGAAAUCCCUGAGCUUAACUUAGGAAUUGCAUUCGAUACUGGUCAGCUAGAGUAUGGGGAGAGGAUGGGUAGAAUUCCAGGUGUAGCGGUGAAAUGCGUAAAAUCUGGAAGAAUACCGAUGGCGAAGGCGGCC
rnacentral:rRNA from 1 species